rnacentral:rRNA from 1 species
UACGAAGGGGGCUAGCGUUGCUCGGAAUCACUGGGCGUAAAGGGUGCGUAGGCGGGUCUUUAAGUCAGGGGUGAAAUCCUGGAGCUCAACUCCAGAACUGCCUUUGAUACUGAAGAUCUUGAGUUCGGGAGAGGUGAGUGGAACUGCGAGUGUAGAGGUGAAAUUCGUAGAUAUUCGCAAGAACACCAGUGGCGAAGGCGGCUCACUGGCCCGAUACUGACGCUGAGGCACGGAAAAGCGAUGGGGAGCAAACAGGG